rnacentral:rRNA from 1 species
UACGUAGGGUGCAAGCGUUGUCCGGAAUUAUUGGGCGUAAAGAGCUCGUAGGCGGUUUGUCGCGUCUGCUGUGAAAAUCCAGGGCUUAACCCUGGACCUGCAGUGGGUACGGGCAGACUAGAGUGCGGUAGGGGAGAUCGGAAUUCCUGGUGUAGCGGUGAAAUGCGCAGAUAUCAGGAGGAACACCGGUGGCGAAGGCGGAUCUCUGGGCCGAUACUGACGCUGAGGAGCGAAAGCGUGGGGAGCGAACAGG